AUGAACGCUGGCGGCGUGCCUAAUACAUGCAAGUCGAGCGAACAGACGAGGAGCUUGCUCCUCUGACGUUAGCGGCGGACGGGUGAGUAACACGUGGAUAACCUACCUAUAAGACUGGGAUAACUUCGGGAAACCGGAGCUAAUACCGGAUAAUAUAUUGAACCGCAUGGUUCAAUAGUGAAAGACGGUUUUGCUGUCACUUAUAGAUGGAUCCGCGCCGCAUUAGCUAGUUGGUAAGGUAACGGCUUACCAAGGCAACGAUGCGUAGCCGACCUGAGAGGGUGAUCGGCCACACUGGAACUGAGACACGGUCCAGACUCCUACGGGAGGCAGCAGUAGGGAAUCUUCCGCAAUGGGCGAAAGCUAGACGGAGCAACGCCGCGUGAGUGAUGAAGGUCUUCGGAUCGUAAAACUCUGUUAUUAGGGAAGAACAAAUGUGUAAGUAACUAUGCACGUCUUGACGGUACCUAAUCAGAAAGCCACGGCUAACUACGUG
rnacentral:rRNA from 1 species